rnacentral:rRNA from 1 species
UACGUAGGGACCGAGCGUUGUCCGGAAUCAUUGGGCGUAAAGAGCGUGUAGGCGGCUUGCUAAGUCUUGCGUGAAAUCUCGGGGCUCAACCCCGAGCGGUCGUGGGAAACUGGCAGGCUAGAGUGCGGGAGAGGAGAAUGGAAUUCCUGGUGUAGCGGUGAAAUGCGCAGAUAUCAGGAGGAACACCAGUGGCGAAGGCGACUACCUGGCCUGUUCUUGACGCUGAGGCGCGAAAGCUAGGGGAGCAAACGGG